GUCUCCGUGGUUUAGUUUGGAGAACAGCCGACUAUGGUGCGGUAGGAUUCGGGUUCGAGCCCCGGUGAAUGCA